CCUGCGGCGGCAUGGUCGUCCUCCGGAACACCAAAGGCGCAAAAAACAUAACUUGAGUUGUGCGGGAUUACGGGCGCGGCUCUCUGCAGCGUCCCUCCAUCCCCGGGUGUUGUAACCGGCAUGCGGUGUGGUCCCUCGGGGCCGUCACCGUGCCACAACAUACCGUGAGUGUGCAGGAUGUGACCCGAAAGAUGGUGAACUAUGCCUGAUCAGGUUGAAGUCAGGGGAAACCCUGAUGGAGGACCGAAGCAGUUCUGACGUGCAAAUCGAUUGUCAGAAUUGGGCAUAGGGGCGAAAGACCAAUCGAACCAUCUAGUAGCUGGUUUCCUUCCGAAA
rnacentral:rRNA from 1 species